AUUGAACGCUAGCGGGAUGCUUAACACAUGCAAGUCGAACGAGUGGCGGACGGGUGAGUAAUAUAUCGGAACGUGACCAGUAGAGGGGGAUAACUACUCGACAGAGUGGCUAAUACCGCAUAGUAGUGGAGCGGACGGUAUCGGAUUAGCUAGGUGGUGGGGUAAAGGCUAACCAAGGCAACGAUCCGUAGCUGGUUUGAGAGGACGAACAGCCACACUGGUACUGAGACACGGCCCAGACUCCUACGGGAGGCAGCAGUGGGGAAUAUUGGACAAUGGGGGAAACCCUGAUCCAGCCAUCCCGCGUGUAUGAGAAGGCCUUCGGGUUGUAAAGUACUUUUGGCAGAGAAGCGGUAUCUGCAGAAUAAGCACCGGCUAACUACGUGCCAGCCGCCGCGGUAAUAC
rnacentral:rRNA from 1 species